rnacentral:rRNA from 1 species
CGAACGCUGGCGGCAGGCCUAACACAUGCAAGUCGAGCGCCCCGCAAGGGGAGCGGCGGACGGGUGAGUAACGCAUGGGAACGUACCCUUUGCUACGGAAUAGCCUCGGGAAACUGGGAGUAAUACCGUAUGUGUCCUUCGGGAGAAAGAUUUAUCGGCAAGGGAUCGGCCCGCGUUGGAUUAGGUAGUUGGUGGGGUAAUGGCCUACCAAGCCGACGAUCCAUAGCUGGUUUGAGAGGAUGAUCAGCCACACUGGGACUGAGACACGGCCCAGACUCCUACGGGAGGCAGCAGUGGGGAAUCUUAGACAAUGGGCGCAAGCCUGAUCUAGCCAUGCCGCGUGAGCGAUGAAGGCCUUAGGGUUGUAAAGCUCUUUCAGGGGGGAAGAUAAUGACUGUACCCCCAGAAGAAGCCCCGGCUAACUCCGUG